rnacentral:rRNA from 1 species
CCUACGGGAGGCAGCAGUAAGGAAUAUUGGACAAUGGUCGCAAGACUGAUCCAGCCAUGCCGCGUGCAGGAUGACAGCCCUAUGGGUCGUAAACUGCUUUUGUGCGAGAAAAAACCCCUCUACGUGUAGAGGGCUGAUUGUAUCGUAAGAAUAAGGAUCGGCUAACUCCGUGCCAGCAGCCGCGGUAAUACGGAGGAUCCAAGCGUUAUCCGGAUUCAUUGGGUUUAAAGGGUGCGUAGGCGGAAUGAUAAGUCAGUGGUGAAAUCCUGCAGCUUAACUGCAGAACUGCCAUUGAUACUGUCAAUCUUGAGUACAUUCGAUGUGGGCGGAAUGUGUCAUGUAGCGGUGAAAUGCUUAGAUAUGACACAGAACACCGAUUGCGAAGGCAGCUCACAAAACUGUAACUGACGCUGAGGCACGAAAGCGUGGGUAUCAAACAGGAUUAGAUACCCUGGUAGUCCACGCUGUAAACUAUGAUUACUCGAUGUUUGCGAUACACUGUAAGCGUCUAAGCGAAAGCGAUAAGUAAUCCACCUGGGGAGUACGCUCGCAAGAGUGAAACUUCAAAGGAAUUGGACGGG